rnacentral:lncRNA from 1 species
UAUCUUGUACUAGACCGACAAGUUAUUUACAACUUCAAAAAUUAGUAAAAGAUAUAGUUGGCAUUUAACUUAACACAUAGACUUCAUUACUAAAUUAUAUAAAUUGGUUAAUACCUUACAUAUUUGGCCUAUUUUUAUAUCACUCCGCCACUUAACUUACUCCAAUAACAGUUCUUUAUACAUUUGACCUACCUCAGGCUUCCUCUAUUAGUUAAGAUGUGGAAUAAACAAUAUUACUUUAUAGUUGUAUAUAAUAUAUAUUAUUGUCAUCUCCAUUGCUUCCACCAAAAUCAUCAUACAUUGUGAAUAACCAUAUUCUAGUUGCGAGCCUCCUCCUCCUUUGUUUUCUCUCCCACUCCUCUCGUAAUCACCAUUGCAUCCAGUAAAAAUUUAUCUCCUCCUUCUCUUCAUUGUUAGAUAGAGAUUGAAGGUUCCAAUUGACUC